rnacentral:rRNA from 1 species
UUUUUCCUACGGGGGGCAGCAGUGAGGAAUAUUGGUCAAUGGCCGAGAGGCUCAACCAGCCAAGUCGCGUGAGGGAUGACGGCCCUACGGGUUGUAAACCUCUUUUGUCGGGGAGCAAGACCCGCCACGAGUGGCGGAGCGAGAGUACCCGAAGAAAAAGCAUCGGCUAACUCCGUGCCAGCAGCCGCGGUAAUACGGAGGAUGCGAGCGUUAUCCGGAUUUAUUGGGUUUAAAGGGUGCGCAGGCGGACCAUCAAGUCAGCGGUAAGAUCGUGGGGCCCAACCCCAUCCCGCCGUUGAAACUGG